AUCGCUUCUCGGCCUUUUGGCUAAGAUCAAGUGUAAAAAAUGUAGAAUGUAGAUUAUUUUAAAAGAAAAAUAUGAGACUAUCAGGAAAUUUCCACAUUUGCUUUUGGAAGCAACUUUAGGCUACAUCCCACACACCUCUGGUAUGCAUUCAAAUUCCUCUGUCCUAAAGGUACUCCCA
rnacentral:snRNA from 1 species